UGCGGAGUAGGGAAGCGGUCAUCCCGUUUGGCUCAUAACCAAAAGAUCAGUGGUUCGAAUCCACUCUCACGCAA
rnacentral:tRNA from 1 species